rnacentral:rRNA from 1 species
GCGGCGCGCUUAAUGCAUGCAAGUCGAGCGAUGAGGUCUCCUUCGGGGGACACAUCAGCGGCAGACGGGUGAGUAACACGUAAGUAACCUACCCCAGAGACAGGGACAACCCUAGGAAACGAGGGCUAAUACCGGAUGACCUCCGGAAGGAGGAAAGGCUGAGGCGCUCUGGGAGGGGCUUGCGGCCCAUCAGCUAGUUGGUAGGGUAAAGGCCUACCAAGGCGAAGACGGGUAGGGGGUGUGAGAGCACGGCCCCCCACAAUGGGACUGAAACACGGCCCAUACUCCUACGGGAGGCAGCAGCAGGGAAUAUUGCACAAUAGGCGCAAGCCUGAUGCAGCGACGCCGCGUGAGUGAAGAAGGCCUUCGGGUCGUAAAGCUCUUUUGUAGGGGAAGAGGAAGGACGGUACCCUAAGAAAAAGCGUCGGCUAACUACGUGCCGGCAGCCGCGGUAAGACGUAGGACGCGAGCGUUAUCCGGAAUUACUGGGCGUAAAGGGCCAGCAGGCGGCUUGGUAAGUUGUGCGUGAAAGCCUCGUGCUCAACGCGAGGAAGCCGGACCAUACUGUCAAGCUAGAGGGCAUCAGAGGGGAGUGGAAUUCCCGGAGUAGCGGUAAAAUGCGCAGAUAUCGGGAGGAACACCGAUGGCGAAGGCAGUUCCCUGGGAUGCACCUGACGCUUAGAGGCGAAAGCUAGGGGAGCGAACAGGAUUAGAGACCCUGGUAGUCCUAGCUGUAAACGCUGGGUGCUAGGUGUGGGACGUAGAAGUUCCGUGCCGGAGCAAACGCGAUUAGCACCCCGCCUGGGAAUUAC